rnacentral:rRNA from 1 species
GCCACAAGGCUUCUCUCCCCCCUGAUGCCGCCUUAAUUAGCCGCCUGGCCCCCCUAAUCCUCCUGUUUGCACGGCGGUUACCCGGCUCCUCGUCGGCGAGCGGUGGCGGCGGCGGGGGGCGGAGGGAUGAUGGCGUCGGAGCCGGUGGCGCGGGCCGUGGCGGAGGAGGUGGGGCGGUGGGGCAGCAUGAAGCAGACGGGGGUGAGCCUGCGGUACAUGAUGGAGUUCGGGUCCGUCCCCACGGACCGCAACCUGCUGCUCUCGGCCCAGUUCCUGCAAAAGGAGCUCCCCAUCCGCAUCGCCCGCCGCGCGCUCGAGCUCGAGUCCCUCCCCUUCGGCCUCUCCGCCAAGCCCGCCAUCCUCAAGGUGAGGGACUGGUACUUGGACUCGUUCCGCGACAUCCGGUAUUUUCCGGAAGUGAGGAAUCGGGACGACGAGCUUGCUUUCACGCAGAUGAUUAAGAUGAUCAAAGUGCGGCACAAUAACGUGGUACCUACUAUGGCUUUGGGAGUGCAACAACUGAAAAACGAACAGUUCAGCUCAAGGAAGCUUCCCCCAGGAUUCGAUGAGAUCCACGGGUUCCUUGAUCGAUUUUACAUGUCAAGGAUUGGUAUUCGCAUGCUCAUAGGGCAGCAUGUGGCUCUGCAUGAACCUGAACCAGAGCCUGGCGUCAUAGGCCUCAUCAAUACAAAAUUGUCCCCCAUACAGGUAGCUCAAAUUGCUAGUGAGGAUGCCCGUUCCAUUUGUAUGAGGGAAUACGGAUCAGCUCCUGACAUCAACAUUUAUGGAGAUCAAAAUUUAACAUUUCCAUAUGUCACAUCGCAUCUUCAUCUCAUGUUGUUUGAACUGGUGAAAAAUUCCCUUCGUGCAGUACAGGAAAGAUAUAUGAAUUCUGAUAAAGAUGUUCCUCCUGUCAGAAUUAUAGUUGCUGAUGGAACAGAGGAUGUUACUAUUAAGGUCAGUGAUGAAGGUGGUGGAAUACGGAGAAGUGGGCUCCCUAGAAUUUUCACAUAUCUUUACAGCACUGCAAAGAAUCUACCUGAUAUGGAGGGCCCUAGUGAAGGGGUAACUAUGGCUGGGUAUGGUUUUGGACUUCCAGUUAGUCGCCUUUAUGCGCGAUAUUUCGGUGGCGACCUACAAAUCAUAUCCAUGGAGGGAUACGGCACCGACGCUUACCUCCACUUGUCACGGCUGGGAGACUCGGAGGAGCCAUUGCCUUAGUGACCCCUCCUGUCCUGAUACAGUUUCUCAGGUCGUUGGCCCUUCUAAUAAGAAAGCUCACUCCCGUGCGCAGUGGCAUGGGGCGUCCCAAAUGGGCAGGUGGCCUGGGCGUGCUCGAUAUGAGGUGGAUGAAUGUGGCGUUGCAGGCCAAAUGGCUUUGGCUGAAGCGAACAGACCAGACGAGGCCUUCGUGGUCGGAAUUCAGAUUCUCUGUACCGACAUCCCUCGAUAGCCCCACAUCUACAUGUGUAUCGUCGCAGCUCCCGGGCUAGGAGCCUUCCACACAUGGCCAAAUUUCGUGUUUUGACCCUUUGGUCAAACAAAAUCGGGAUCUGACCCCCUUGUAAUUUUUUUGACAUCUGACCCUUUUGCUACCGUCAAAGGGCUCGGCUGUAGGGUCACGGAGGCUACCGCCAGGGCUUUUGGCGGUGGCAUGACAGCCCACUGCCGUUAGCUAACGGCCAGUGCACUACCCUACCGCCGAAGUUCUUGGCGGUAGGUUGACUUACCCUACCGUUGCAGGUCUUGGCGGUAGGGUCAUGUGGGUUUAGGUUUUUACAAGUUUUAUUGAUUGUUUGUUUUGUCACAAGUUUCACAUAGUUUCACAAAUAGCAAAAUAUGAGCUCACAUAUUAUUAAAUGUUCCACAUAGCAAAUAUCAAACAGUUUACAC